ensembl:lncRNA
GUUUAACGUUAUUGAAACACGGUAAAGCAAGUGUACAAGCAUUAAGAUCUUGUGGGACUCGCCUCAACAAUAGCCUCCAUUGGACUAACUGGCCGAAGUCCAGGUUUGUGGAGCUAGUUCACAUUACCACCUGCAGGGAGAACUUGUCGUUAGCCACACGUCUAGAAACCGUAGUUCAAGAUGAAAAGGUCCCAUCAAGGUUGGUCAGAUUAAAAGUUGGCAUCAAUAUAAAUCAGCCAUAUGCUUGUCUAUUGGAUAAUCAUCACUUCAACCCCUCAUUUUAUUCCAUUAGUGAAAAAAACUGAACACUCACCAGUCAACUAUGCAGCCAUCAUCCUUUUUCUGUCCAUACUGACUGAGAAAAAUGAGAUUUUAAAAUCACAUCAAGUCUAACUGAACAGAGUUGAGCUCCAUUGGGUUACUCAGAAUCUGGUAAAGAAGUUUCUUCAAAGUGUGACUCGGUAAAAGCGUUGAAGAUCAUCAUUGUAGCGCUGACAUGGUCAAAUACUAGCCAACUCCAAUAUCUUAAUUACCUCGUAUUUUAGCCUUCAUUGCUCCACCUAUGUAGAGAAAGAAACAGUGUUAAACACUAUUCUCAAAAAUACAUUAUGAUCUCAAGCAUACAUUUUGCUACUCAGAAUAUUUUACGUUUUCCACAAAAUAUUCAGUGAGAGAGUUCAAUAGCAUCAUGGUAGCAGUCAAGCUAGGUUCAUGGACGACCACUUCAAAGCCCACUUAACCCGUUAAAAACUUCAAUAUACCUUUGUAGUGAGCAGUAAGGCAGUGCUCCUCGUCCAACUGAGAACCCUAAACAGAAGGAACACAUUAACGCGUUGCAGACUCCAUUGGUUCUGACACAGCCCAACACGUGCUAGGCCGAUGGAAUCCCACGAUGUCUUCGUCAGGUUUAUGCAAAGAACUGAGCGCCGAGUGUCUCCAUUCAGAAUAAAUAUGGUGCAUUCACAGUCAUUCAGAACAGGUCUGUGAAAGUUAUCAUCACUUGGAGACAGCGCCAAUAGCAGCGACGGCGUUUCACAACGCUAUUCUUCAGUAGAUUACACACGAGCAUGCCAAGAAAAUAACCUGACAAAAUCACAACGCAGAUUUUGAAAUAUUAAACAUGAUUGCAUCGGUCACCGGUUAAUGCAUGUGGAGGUUAUAAACACAAAAUUUACUUUCAACUCCGUUAUAAGGCGAACCAACUUCUUAAUUACGUCUUGAUCACCAUCAAACAUGCAUGUGAUCAUGAUUAACAGUUAACCAGCUGCUUAGUCUGUCAUUAUGGCGGAUCAGAGUGUGUAACAAUCAGUCAUGAAUCAUCAGACUGGGGCGGUAAAAUGCAACAUCAUUCUAUAGCACCAUGGAGUGUUUUUAUGAUAUGAACGUCAACAUACCAAGAUGACCCAGAACUGGGUUUGAGGACGCCAGUCACAGGACAAGUCUAG